GAUGAACGCUAGCUACAGGCUUAACACAUGCAAGUCGAGGGGAAACGGCAUUGAGUGCUUGCACUCUUUGGACGUCGACCGGCGCACGGGUGAGUAACGCGUAUCCAACCUUCCCAUUACUGUGGGAUAACCUGCCGAAAGGCAGACUAAUACCGCAUAGUUUUCGAUGACGGCAUCAGAUUUGAAGUAAAGAUUUAUCGGUAAUGGAUGGGGAUGCGUCUGAUUAGCUUGUUGGCGGGGUAACGGCCCACCAAGGCAACGAUCAGUAGGGGUUCUGAGAGGAAGGUCCCCCACAUUGGAACUGAGACACGGUCCAAACUCCUACGGGAGGCAGCAGUGAGGAAUAUUGGUCAAUGGACGGAAGUCUGAACCAGCCAAGUAGCGUGCAGGAUGACGGCCCUAUGGGUUGUAAACUGCUUUUGUAUGGGGAUAAAGUUAGGGACGUGUCCCUAUUUGCAGGUACCAUACGAAUAAGGACCGGCUAAUUCCGUGCCAGCAGCCGCGGUAAUACGGAAGGUCCAGGCGUUAUCCGGAUUUAUUGGGUUUAAAGGGAGCGUAGGCUGGAUAUUAAGUGUGUUGUGAAAUGUAGACGCUCAACGUCUGACUUGCAGCGCAUACUGGUUUCCUUGAGUACGCACAACGUUGGCGGAAUUCGUCGUGUAGCGGUGAAAUGCUUAGAUAUGACGAAGAACUCCGAUUGCGAAGGCAGCUGACGGGGGCGCAACUGACGCUUAAGCUCGAAGGUGCGGGUAUCAAACAGG
rnacentral:rRNA from 1 species